UGGGGAAUAUUGCACAAUGGAGGGAACUCUGAUGCAGCGACGCCGCGUGAACGAAGAAGGCUUUCGAGUCGUAAAGGUCUUUUAUAUGGGAAGAUAAUGACGGUACCAUAAGAAAAAGCCCCGGCUAACUACGUGCCAGCAGCCGCGGUAAUACGUAGGGGCCUAGCGUUGUCCGGAAUCACUGGGCGUAAAGGGUUCGCAGGCGGAAAUGCAAGUCAGGUGUAAAAGGCAGUAGCUUAACUACUGUAAGCAUUUGAAACUGCAUAUCUUGAGAAGAGUAGAGGUAAGUGGAAUUUUUAGUGUAGCGGUGAAAUGCGUAGAUAUUAAAAAGAAUACCGGUGGCGAAGGCGACUUACUGGGCUCAUUCUGACGCUGAGGAACGAAAGCGUGGGUAGCAAACAGG
rnacentral:rRNA from 1 species